rnacentral:rRNA from 1 species
CCUACGGGAGGCAGCAGUGGGGAAUAUUGCACAAUGGGGGCAACCCUGUUGCAGCAACGCCGCGUGAGUGAAGAAGUCUUUCGGUAUGUAAAGCUCUAUCGUCAGGGAAGAAGAUGACGGUACCUGCUUAAGAAGCCCCGGCUAACUACGUCCCAGCAGCCGCGGUAAUACGUAGGGGGCGAGCGUUAUCCGGAUUUACUGGGUGUAAAGGGAGCGGAGGCGGCGGUGCAAGUCUGGAGUGAAAGCCCGGGGCCCAACCCCGGGACUGCUCUGGAAACUGUUGGGCUAGAGUACUGGAGGGGCAGGCGGAAUUCCUAGUGUAGCGGUGAAAUGCGUAGAUAUAAGGAGGAACACCAGUGGCGAAGGCGGCCUGCUGGACAGUAACUGACGUUGAGGCGCGAAAGCGUGGGGAGCAAACAGGAUUAGAUACCCUAGUAGUC